AUAAAACACUAAAACAGGAGCCGAGUCUCAUGGAGGGUUAAAAGCCAAUGAAUAAAAAUGGGUUUUAAGACGACUUUUAAAAAUGGACAGUGUGGGGGCUUCUCUAAUUUGGAGGGGUAGCUCGUUCCAUAAAAUUGGGGCUGCAACAGAAAAAGAUCUAUCCCCUCUGAGCUUCCGUUUGGACCUCGGUACCUGCAAUAAGGCUUGAACCCACUGACCCAUGUGGACACACAAGACAAUCAUGUUUUUUUUCAUAUAUCACUGUACUUUGUAGACUUUGUCACCGCCCGGGAAGAAGGACAGCGAGCUGGAGGUCAUCCUGAGACGCCGGCGUAACAAGGCGGGAGAGGCUGGCUCCGGAGGUAAACACAGAGACGGAGGACGAUAAAAGCCUCAUGGUUUCAUCUUUUUUUUCUUUUUGUUUUGAACUAAAUCUGGUUUUUAUCUUUACAACAACGAAAACUAAAGUGGGUUCAUGAACAUUUUUGGAGUUUUAAUCUACCUCUUAAAGUUGUAAAAAUGUGUUGUCAAAUCACUGAUUCAGUUAAAAUUAAGACAAUAUUCCUUUACAGGAACAAGACUGGCUUUGAAAGAUUUCCUCGAGUCAUGCUAACCUUCAUAUACCAACAGAAAAAGGCUUUAUUUAACAGAAAGGAAAAAAAAGAAAGAAAGUAUUAUAUCUGAAGAUUUUGUGAACAGUUAAGAGGUCACAGGAUGUAGUCCUUGUCUGUAGUGAGGGGAAAACUGUUCUGAGCUGCUGUGAGUGUCUGAGUCCAGCAGAGGGCGCUCUGAACCACAAACUAAAUGGAUUUAUCAGCUUCUCUGUGAUUGAUUAACCUGAAGGGAGAAAGAAGUCUUUAAAUCUAUUUACACUUCUGUUAUUUUGUUUCAUCAUAAUCCUGUUUUUAUGUUUUAAAAGGGUCCGAGUGAGACAACAUUUUGAGUUGGUUACUAAUAUGAUAUUUUAAGUCUAAGAUUCUCUUUUUUUCCCUCCAGAUGAGCGGGAAGGCCAGAUGAGCUACGUCUCCACCUUGGACAGUCUGAACGGGAGGCGAACAAGCACCGACUCCGGCAAGGAUCCCGAGGUGCCCAGAGUGAUCACAGAGUGACGGGGGUCAGGACCGGGGCCCAUCGUGGCCAGGAGGAAGAGCUCGGACACGGGCAAAGAACCCAGGGUGGGCUCCUGGCAAGAGAGGAGGUCCUGCAGCUCGCUGUCUGAGAAAGAAACAGCGGGGUCUCCGGUCAGCAACGGCUGCACCAACAG